GUCUGGCUGGCUCAGUUGAUAGAGCCUGUAACUCUUGAUCUUAGGGUUGUGAGUUCGAGCCCCACGCUGGGCA
rnacentral:tRNA from 1 species